rnacentral:rRNA from 1 species
AGUCCGAUAGCAAACAAGUACCGUGAGGGAAAAUUGAAAAGAACUUUGAAGAGAGAGUUCAAGAGUACGUGAAACCGUCUAGCGGUAAAGAGAGGGGUUCUCGAAGUUUCUGAGGGGGACUCAACCUUGGUGGGGCUGUUUCUGGGCGUAUUUGAUCAGCAAUGACUUUGCGCUUAGUCGACAGUGCCUCCCGGACGCACUUUCUCCUCAGUUUACGGCAGGAACCGUUAGAUGUGGACUGAAGGCUCAGGGUGAAGUUGUCGGUUAUGCUGGCAGCCCUUGGUGUCCUAGCUUCGCGUCUGACGGGUAUGUAAGUAAACUCGUAUAGCGAGCAAUUCUCUAUUGCGGUUUGCAUUUCUCUGCCGAGUAGGUCGGUGGCCCCUCUCACCCGUCUUGAAACACGGAC